UAGAUUUCGUGAACCAUCGUAAGACGCUCGUAAUGUUUCGUAAUGCCUCGCAAUGAUUUCCAUAGUCCUUUAAAAGCUCUAAUAUCAAAGUCAGCAAAAUGUGUUUGUGUUAACAUCGAUUUCUGCUAUCUAGAAAAUCGUUAAAUGGUUUCAGACUUUGUUACGCUUCUGUGUUUCUAAAAGUCGUGAAAAUGAAAUUUUGUUUUUCGUGACUCGUGAAAUCUAAAAAUGAUCUUCGUGAUUUCGUGACGAGACCCCCCCCCCCUU
rnacentral:lncRNA from 1 species